AUUGAACGCUGGCGGAAUGCUUUACACAUGCAAGUCGAACGGUAGAGGGGGCAACCCCUUGAGAGUGGCGAACGGGUGAGUAAUAUAUCGGAACGUGCCCAGUCGUGGGGAUAACGUAGCGAAAGUUACGCUAAUACCGCAUACGAUCUACGGAUGAAAGCGGGGGACUCGCAAGAGCCUCGCGCGAUUGGAGCGGCCGAUAUCAGAUUAGGUAGUUGGUGGGGUAAAGGCUCACCAAGCCAACGAUCUGUAGCUGGUCUGAGAGGACGACCAGCCACACUGGAACUGAGACACGGUCCAGACUCCUACGGGAGGCAGCAGUGGGGAAUUUUUGGACAAUGGACGCAAGUCUGAUCCAGCAUUCCGCGUGCAGGAUGAAGGCCCUCGGGUUGUAAAC
rnacentral:rRNA from 1 species